rnacentral:rRNA from 1 species
AGAGUUUGAUCCUGGCUCAGGAUGAACGCUGGCGGCGUGCCUAAUACAUGCAAGUCGAACGAGGUGCUUUUGUAGCAAUACGAGAGUAUCCUAGUGGCGAACGGGUGAGUAACACGUGGGUGACCUACCCCAAAGUGUGGAAUAACAGUCCGAAAGGAUUGCUAAUGCCGCAUGUGGUCUGCGAGUUUAGAAAUCGUUGACUAAAGGAGCAAUUCGCUUUGGGAGGGACCUGCGUCCCAUCAGCUAGUUGGUGAGGUAACGGCUCACCAAGGCUACGACGGGUAGGGGACCUGAGAGGGUGGCCCCCCACAAUGGAACUGAAACACGGUCCAUACACCUACGGGUGGCAGCAGUAGGGAAUAUUGCACAAUGGGCGAAAGCCUGAUGCAGCAACGCCGCGUGCGCGAUGAAGGUCUUCGGAUCGUAAAGCGCUUUUCUGAGAGAUGAGAAAGGACAGUAUCUCAGGAAUAAGUCUCGGCUAACUACGUGCCAGCAGCCGCGGUAAAACGUAGGAGGCGAGCGUUAUCCGGAUUCACUGGGCGUAAAGCGCGUGCAGGUGGUUCGGUAAGUUGGGCGUGAAAUCUCCCGGCUCAACUGGGAGAGGUCGUUCAAUACUACCGGACUUGAGAGCAGAAGAGGAAGAUGGAAUUCCCGGUGUAGUGGUGAAAUGCGUAGAUAUCGGGAGGAACACCAGUGGCGAAGGCGAUCUUCUGGUCUGUUUCUGACACUCAGACGCGACAGCUAGGGUAGUAAACGGGAUUAGAGACCCCGGUAAUCCUAGCCGUAAACGAUGUGAACUUGGCGUUGGUGGGUUAAACUCCAUCAGUGCCGAAGCAAACGCGAUAAGUUCACCGCCUGGGGACUACGGCCGCAAGGUUUAAACUCAAAGGAAUUGACGG